rnacentral:rRNA from 1 species
GACGAACGCUGGCGGCGUGCUUAACACAUGCAAGUCGAACGGAAAGGCCCUGCUUGCAGGGUACUCGAGUGGCGAACGGGUGAGUAACACGUGGGUGAUCUGCCCUGCACUUCGGGAUAAGCCUGGGAAACUGGGUCUAAUACCGGAUAGGAGCCAUUUUUAGUGUGAUGGUUGGAAAGUUUUUUCGGUGUAGGAUGAGCUCGCGGCCUAUCAGCUUGUUGGUGGGGUAAUGGCCUACCAAGGCGGCGACGGGUAGCCGGCCUGAGAGGGUGGACGGCCACAUUGGGACUGAGAGACGGCCCAGACUCCUACGGGAGGCAGCAGUGGGGAAUAUUGCACAAUGGGCGCAAGCCUGAUGCAGCGACGCCGCGUGGGGGAUGACGGCCUUCGGGUUGUAAACACCUUUCGCUAGGGACGAAGCUUUUUGUGACGGUACCUAGAUAAGAAGCACCGGCUAACUACGUG